rnacentral:rRNA from 1 species
UACGAAGGGGGCUAGCGUUGUUCGGAAUCACUGGGCGUAAAGCGCACGUAGGCGGAUCUUUAAGUCAGGGGUGAAAUCCCGAGGCUCAACCUCGGAACUGCCUUUGAUACUGGGGAUCUCGAGUCCGGGAGAGGUGAGUGGAACUGCGAGUGUAGAGGUGAAAUGCGUAGAUAUCGGGAGGAACACCAGUGGCGAAGGCGACUACCUGGCCUGUUCUUGACGCUGAGGCGCGAAAGCUAGGGGAGCAAACGGG